rnacentral:rRNA from 1 species
GACGAACGCUGGCGGCGUGCUUAACACAUGCAAGUCGAGCGGUAAGGCCUCUUCGGGGGUACACGAGCGGCGAACGGGUGAGUAACACGUGGGUGACCUGCCCUCAGCUCUGGGAUAAGCCUGGGAAACUGGGUCUAAUACCGGAUAUGACCUUUCCUCGCAUGGGGUUUGGUGGAAAGUUUUUUCGGCUGGGGAUGGGCCCGCGGCCUAUCAGCUUGUUGGUGGGGUGAUGGCCUACCAAGGCGACGACGGGUAGCCGGCCUGAGAGGGCGACCGGCCACACUGGGACUGAGACACGGCCCAGACUCCUACGGGAGGCAGCAGCGGGGAAUAUUGCGCAAUGGGCGGAAGCCUGACGCAGCGACGCCGCGUGGGGGAUGACGGCCUUCGGGUUGUAAACCUCUUUCGACCCCGACGAAUUUGGACGGUAGGGGUAGAAGAAGCACCGGCCAACUACGUG